rnacentral:rRNA from 1 species
UACGAAGGGGGCUAGCGUUGUUCGGAAUUACUGGGCGUAAAGCGUGCGCAGGCGGCUAUCCAAGUCAGUGGUGAAAGCCCGGAGCUCAACUCCGGAAUUGCCAUUGAAACUGUUUAGCUUGAGUACGAGAGAGGUGAGUGGAAUUCCCAGUGUAGAGGUGAAAUUCGUAGAUAUUGGGAAGAACACCGGUGGCGAAGGCGGCUCACUGGCUCGUAACUGACGCUCAUGCACGACAGCGUGGGGAUCAAACAGG